UAUGGGGCGUUUUUCACUUCGGUCGUGAGAUGUUGGGUUAAGUCCCGUAACGAGCGCAACCCUUGUCCUUAGUUACCAGCACGUUAUGGUGGGCACUCUAAGGAGACUGCCGGUGACAAACCGGAGGAAGGUGGGGAUGACGUCAAGUCAUCAUGGCCCUUACGGCCUGGGCUACACACGUGCUACAAUGGUCGGUACAGAGGGUCGCCAAGCCGCGAGGUGGAGCUAAUCUCACAAAACCGAUCGUAGUCCGGAUCGCAGUCUGCAACUCGACUGCGUGAAGUCGGAAUCGCUAGUAAUCGCGAAUCAGAAUGUCGCGGUGAAUACGUUCCCGGGCCUUGUACACACCGCCCGUCACACCAUGGGAGUGGGUUGCACCAGAAGUAGCUAGUCUAACCUUCAGGAGGACGGUAUCACGUUCA
rnacentral:rRNA from 1 species